GUGAAUCAUCGAAUUUUUGAACGCAACUUGCACUCCCUGGUAUUCCGGGGAGUAUGCCUGUUUGAGGGUCGUUAGAAUAACAAAUCGAUGCGUCGCUCUUUUUUCUAAGGGUGAGCGCGUCGGUAUUGGGCCGUCUGUCAAAUGUUAAUUCAUGUCAAAGGGAUUUGCAUUUAAUCCAUCAGGUAAGAGUG
rnacentral:misc_RNA from 1 species